rnacentral:lncRNA from 1 species
AAUGUCACAGUGGUUAUACAAGUGAGUCCUGUUCAGCGUGGGAGGAAAUAACACAAGAGGCAAAGAUCACUCGGGACCACCUUGUAUAUUGGCUACCACAGAACCCAACACAAGCACACUGCAAUGAAUGCUGCUGCACACGCUGUUGAGCUCGUGGACACUUUCCUGCUGGGUGAGGACCCGAACGUGAAAUUGCUGGGUCAUGGAUUCAAGUGCUACACAUAUUUUUGACCACAUUACUGUGACUCAGGAAGCCCAGGAACAGAAUUCUAGGCACCAGAACCAUACAUGUUACAGCCUCUGAGCUUUAUGGCCUCUGAGCCAUUUGUCCAGCCACAUCAUUUGCAGAUGAGAUCCUGAGACUCAGGCUGGAAAAGUGACCGGGGAAAAGUCACACAAGUCAGAGGCAGAGCUGGAGUUUCCUCAUUUCCAGGCCCGUAUAGAUCAAGACGGACGUUGGUCAAACACCUCCUAGUACUCACAUGAAGAAGCUCUCCUUUCUGCUGUAGGAAUGAUCACACACCAUUCCAAUCUGGAUACCAAAUGUCAUUGUUUAUUAAAUGUGUGCAGUGUGCCAGGCAUA